UCACUGCCGCCCAACCAUUUUCCUCCCUCAAGCAAGCACGCAGCCUCAACUCCUCUCCCACCUCACGCACGUCUUCUCCCAGCCACCGCACAACAGCUUCCUUGCUCCACUCGGCACCUCUGCUCCUCCCAUCCAUGGCGUCGGCCCUGCUCCCUUCUCCUCAAGCAGCGCCCGAGCUCCAUUCCUUGGUCUUCCUGCUCGGCGCUAGGUCCUAAGACAAGCUCCUGUUCUCCAUCCAUGGCGCCCAGGCGAGCAGCUCCCCUUCUCCAGAUCCAUGGACGCCAUCCCCUCCUGCAAUUUGGAGAAGGCGGAGUCUCUGUGCGUUGCUCACCAAGUGCUCGAUGGACAACCUGAACCUGAGACCAUCGUCGUUUUUGUGGUCUUCGAAUCAGAUUCAGUUUUGCCCUCCGUCGAUGUCUCGUCUCUCCUUCGCUGCACCAUCCUCGUCCUUAUCUAUUGGUAAGUCCGAGUGAGAGAGCGUCGGUUAUAUAUUGAGUUAUAGCGAGAUGAAUUUUAAAGUAGUGAUUUUUGUCGCAUCUAGCAAUUGAUUAUUAAUAUGGUGAUAUGUUAU